CCUACGGGUGGCAGCAGUGAGGAAUAUUGGUCAAUGGUCGCGAGCCUGAACCAGCCAAGCCGCGUGAAGGAGGAAGGCACUGUGUGUUGUAAACUUCUUUUGUAAGGGAAUAAAGCCCGGUACGUGUCCCCGGUUGAAUGUACCUUACGAAUAAGCAUCGGCUAACUCCGUGCCAGCAGCCGCGGUAAUACGGAGGAUUCGAGCGUUAUCCGGAUUUAUUGGGUUUAAAGGGUGCGUAGGCGGUUCGUUAAGUCAGCGGUGAAAGCCCGGGGCUCAACCCCGGGACUGCCGUUGAUACUGGCAGUCUAGAGUUGGGUAGAGGUAGGCGGAAUGCGUGGUGUAGCGGUGAAAUGCUUAGAGAUCACGAAGAACUCCGAUUGCGAAGGCAGCUUACUAAACUGCGACUGACGUUGAGGCUCGAAAGUGUGGGUAUCAAACAGGAUUAGAUACCCGUGUAGUC
rnacentral:rRNA from 1 species